AGAGCGCAAAAAAAUAAUCCAUCUUCACCCAUCAUUAUCUUUAUGGCGCCCACCCGCCGCCCAGGGGUGGGGGCUGGAGGGGGUGGUGAACAGUCAGUAUCAUUUGGCCCCCACCCACUGCCCAGGGGUGAUUUGCAUAGUGUGCCAGGCUGUGCUAGGACUGCCCAUCUAUCAAUAUACAGUGAUAAUAAACAGUAAAAUAGUGAUUUGCAUAGUGUGCCAGGCUGCCCAUCUAUCAAUAUACAG